rnacentral:rRNA from 1 species
GUGGGGAAUUUUGGACAAUGGGCGAAAGCCUGAUCCAGCCAUGCCGCGUGCAGGAUGAAGGCCUUCGGGUUGUAAACUGCUUUUGUACGGAACGAAAAGACUCUGGUUAAUACCUGGGGUCCAUGACGGUACCGUAAGAAUAAGCACCGGCUAACUACGUGCCAGCAGCCGCGGUAAUACGUAGGGUGCAAGCGUUAAUCGGAAUUACUGGGCGUAAAGCGUGCGCAGGCGGCUCUGCAAGACAGAUGUGAAAGCCCCGGGCUCAACCUGGGAACUGCAUUUGUGACUGCAAGGCUAGAGUGCGUCAGAGGGAGGUGGAAUUCCGCGUGUAGCAGUGAAAUGCGUAGAGAUGCGGAGGAACACCGAUGGCGAAGGCAGCCUCCUGGGAUGACACUGACGCUCAUGCACGAAAGCGUGGGGAGCAAACAGGAUUAGAAACCCCAGUAGUCC